GAGGGGUUGGCAAGAAAGUUUCGCAAAAAUGCAGCCCGUAGUGCCCAUACUUUUUUAAAAGUUCGACAGCAGCAUACGAAAACACUUCAUUUGCAGUUUUCAUCAUUGUAAUAUGAAUUUGGUGCAGUCAAAUUUUAAACCAUUCCCACAUCAGCAUUCCCAGGAAUAGCAACACGGAGUGGCAAUAGAUCUAGUGCACCGUACAUGAAAAAGAUUAUUAUCUUCAUAACAAAGCGAGAAAAAUUAUUGUAUGUGCAGUGUUACGAUUUUAGUUUCUGGGUGUUCACUUGCUAGACAUUGCAACAAAGUGGAUGAAUUUCGGUACUUGCAAAUCAUGCCUCGCCUGUAUGAAAUAAAAUGUACAAAAUAAUCCAAA